rnacentral:misc_RNA from 1 species
UUCUGCGAUCGCUGUGACCCAAUUAACUUCACAUCCGCUGAGUGUACAUAUUGCGGCGCUUGUUUGUGGAGUCAUAAGCAUCGGCUUAUACCGAUGGGUUUAGCGGUGCAGGGGAUGACAUCUGUUGUUGUAAGGAUAGUAAUUGGGUAAUUAAGCCAGUGUUAACAGUUUCUACUGGUUAAUGAAGUCCUAUACGUGAGAGCUUAUUGCGCAAUACGCUGUAUUUCCAUGUGCUAUUCAAUUGUGACCAGAAAACGUGUCCACUAGUUGAUGGUUUUCUUUGAAUUAAGUGAUCUGCAUUGGAUUACGACUCUUUUUUUGGAAAAUGCUACUGAUAAUGCAUUAAAAAGCUUGGACGCAAGUUUUUU